UACGAAGGGUGCAAACGUUGCUCGGAAUUAUUGGGCGUAAAGCGCACGUAGGCGGCUUGGCAAGUCGGAUGUGAAAUCCCUCGGCUCAACCAAGGAAGUGCAUCCGAAACUGCCGAGCUUGAGUACUUAAGAGGAUCGCGGAAUUCCCGGUGUAGAGGUGAAAUUCGUAGAUAUCAGGAGGAACACCGGUGGCGAAGGCGGCUUUCUGGACACUUACUGACGCUGAGACGCGAAAAGCGUGGGGGAGCAAAACAGG
rnacentral:rRNA from 1 species